rnacentral:rRNA from 1 species
AUUGAACGCUGGCGGCAUGCCUUACACAUGCAAGUCGAACGGUAACGCGGGGCAACCUGGCGACGAGUGGCGAACGGGUGAGUAAUGUAUCGGAACGUGGCCCGAUGUGGGGGAGAACUGCUCGAAAGAGAACCUAAGAACGCAUACGACGUGAGGGUGAAAGCGGGGGAACGCAAGACACCGCGCAAUUGGAGCGGCCCAGAUCAGAGUCGGUAGUUGGUGGGGUAAAGGCUCACCAAGCCAACGAUCUGUAGCUGGUCUGAGAGGACGACUAGCCACACUGGGACUGAGACGCGGCCCAGACUCCUACGGGAGGCAGCAGUGGGGAAUUUUGGACAAUGGGCGCAAGCCUGAUCCAGCCAUGCCGCGUGCGGAAAGAAGGCCUUCGGGUUGUAAACCGCUUUUGUCAGGGAAGAAAAGACUCCUGUAAAUACCGGGGGUUCAUGACGGUACCUGAAGAAUAAGCACCGGCUAACUACGUGCCAGCCGCCGCAGUAACAC